CCUACGGGAGGCAGCAGUAAGGAAUAUUGGUCAAUGGACGCAAGUCUGAACCAGCCAUGCCGCGUGAAGGAUUAAGGUCCUCUGGAUUGUAAACUUCUUUUAUCUGGGACGAAAAAAGGCGAUUCUUCGUCACUUGACGGUACCAGAUGAAUAAGCACCGGCUAACUCCGUGCCAGCAGCCGCGGUAAUACGGAGGGUGCAAGCGUUAUCCGGAUUCACUGGGUUUAAAGGGUGCGUAGGCGGGCAGGUAAGUCAGUGGUGAAAUCCUAGAGCUUAACUCUAGAACUGCCAUUGAUACUAUCUGUCUUGAAUAUUGUGGAGGUAAGCGGAAUAUGUCAUGUAGCGGUGAAAUGCUUAGAUAUGACAUAGAACACCUAUUGCGAAGGCAGCUUACUACGCAUAUAUUGACGCUGAGGCACGAAAGCGUGGGGAUCAAACAGGAUUAGAUACCCUGGUAGUCCACGCCCUAAACGAUGAUUACUCGACAUUUGUGAUACACUAUAAGUGUUNUGAGACGAAGACAUUAAGUAAUACCACCGUACGGAAGGUACGACCCGACCGAGUUAGUAACGUACGAAAGAAGUUAGUACGGACGUUAGAGACGUUACGACCGACGGACGACGACGAGGGAGGGUAGGGNG
rnacentral:rRNA from 1 species